rnacentral:hammerhead_ribozyme from 1 species
AUCCAGCUGACCCUUCCCAAAUAGGACAAAACACGCGUCCUGGAU